ensembl:lncRNA
CUGUGUCCUCCCUGGUGGAAGGAACGGGAAUGAGCAGGAGCAGAAGCAGCAUGAGGUGAAUCAGGAAGCAAGUCUAUAAGGGAUAUGGAAACAGACUGAAGAUCCUUUCACUGCAAGACAGACAGAGCUGAGCGGAACCCAGAUGUAAUUAAGACAUAGCAUCACGUGCAGCUUUCAAGAAGAAGGGGAGGAAAUGCACUGGCCAUUAUGUAGAGACUACAGAAACGAAGGAAGAGUCACGCUAAUGAAGACAGGAAGGAUGAUGAACUCAGACUCACAGAGAUGAGAAAGUGAAUAAAAGAACCAGACUGAAACACAGCAGCAAUUUUAUUCCAGCAGCAAUUUUCUGAAACCGAAAUUGAAAUUAAAAAUACAUUUAUAAUGAACAGCCAGCAACAUCCACAGCCCAGCAGCAUGCGCAUGGAGAACAGAGGAUCAGUCAUCAGCGAGAAUUUUACCAUCUGGCUGCUAUUGUUAUCAUUAUUAUGGAAAUGUUUUUACUGUCAGAGGGAAGUACCAGCAGUGGCACUAUCUGAGCACAACAUCAAGAGGCAGCAAGGCAAAUUUGCGUGCCGGGAGUAGAGAAGCGUCUCCAUGCCAGAACAGAAACUCUGGUCCAGCAUUUCCCAUUCAUCUCGUUGCCCUUGUCUAGGUAUUGCCUGCAUAAGUACAUUCAGAUGUCAUUCAUCUUAGAAGUACUUUUCUUUUUUCCCAAAGCUGCUUCCUGCUGCAAUCCUGGAGCAGAAACAGGUUGAUUGUUUAAAAUAGUUUUACAAUCAUGUUAACCGGUAGAUAGAUCGAUCCAUCAAUCUGCCAUUUGUCUUUCUUCAGACAGACAUCACGUUGUUGGGCAACCUGCAGUU